GCCUGAGUGGCUCAAUCAGUUGAGCGUCCAACUUGGGCUCGGGUCAUGAUCUCACGGCUUGUGGGUUCGAGCCCCGCAUCGGGCU
rnacentral:tRNA from 1 species